rfam:Candidate division Zixibacteria bacterium RBG_16_50_21 RBG_16_scaffold_1976, whole genome shotgun sequence.
GCGCCUUUAGCUCAGUUGGUAGAGCAGCUGACUCUUAAUCAGCGGGCCCCAGGUUCGAGUCCUGGAAGGCGCA